rnacentral:tRNA from 1 species
GAGGGUAUAGCUCAGAGGUAGAGUGUGUACCUAGCAUACACAAGGACCUAGGUUCAAUCUCCAGUACCUCCA